rnacentral:rRNA from 1 species
UACGGGGGGGGCAAGCGUUGUUCGGAAUUACUGGGCGUAAAGGGUGCGUAGGCGGCUUUCUAAGUUGGAUGUGAAAACUCGGGGCUCAACUCCGAGCCUGCGUUCGAUACUGGAUGGCUAGAGUCUGGUAGGGGGAUCUGGAAUUCCUGGUGUAGCGGUGGAAUGCGCAGAUAUCAGGAGGAACACCGGUGGCGAAGGCGGGAUCCUGGGCCAGUACUGACGCUGAUGAGCGAAAGCGUGGGGAGCAAACAGG